rnacentral:rRNA from 1 species
UACGAAGGGUGCAAGCGUUAAUCGGAAUUACUGGGCGUAAAGCGUGCGCAGGCGGUUAUGCAAGACAGAUGUGAAAUCCCCGGGCUUAACCUGGGAACUGCAUUUGUGACUGCAUAGCUGGAGUGCGGCAGAGGGGGAUGGAAUUCCGCGUGUAGCAGUGAAAUGCGUAGAUAUGCGGAGGAACACCGAUGGCGAAGGCAAUCCCCUGGGCCUGCACUGACGCUCAUGCACGAAAGCGUGGGGAGCAAACAGG